GGAACACGGUGUAAAUCCGUGGCGGUCCCGCCGCUGUAAUCGGGGAUGCUGGUCAGCACAGGGAAUUUUCCCGGUCACUCCCAGAGCACACCACGGGGGGAAGGCCGCAGGCCAGCAGACGAUCCGAAAGCCAGAAGAC
rnacentral:ncRNA from 2 species